ensembl:misc_RNA Y_RNA Y RNA
GGCUGGUCCGAGUGCAGUGUGGGACAUACAACUAAUUAAUCACAACUAGUUACAGAUUCCUUUGUUCCUUCUCCUUUAAUCUCCAAGAAAAUAGCCUUCAGACUAGCCAAGU